UACGUAGGGACCGAGCGUUGUCCGGAAUCAUUGGGCGUAAAGAGCGUGUAGGCGGCCCCUUAAGUCCUGCGUGAAAUCCUGCGGCUCAACCGCAGACGGUCGUGGGAAACUGGAGGGCUAGAGUGCGGGAGAGGAGAGUGGAAUUCCCGGUGUAGCGGUGAAAUGCGCAGAUAUCAGGAGGAACACCGAUGGCGAAGGCAGCUCGCUGGGACGGUACUGACGCUGAGACGCGAAAGCGUGGGGAGCAAACAGG
rnacentral:rRNA from 1 species